UUACUGUUUUAUACACAAAGGGGUACAAGAAUCCUUACAUAUGCAACUUCAGGUCUCUUAGGAAAACAUCAUGUUUGACACAAAGAUGGACAUAACCAACCUGAGAGUAGUGCCAAAAGACAUCGAGCACCAGUGCUUCAUUUGCUUGCAUCCUAGGGCUUAAAGGUGCUUAAUGGUUAAUGCAUUUUGAUCAUCCCGUCCUUAUUCUCCUGUCCGAGACUGCUGAAGAACCAAGAGUUCAUGUUCCUAACCUGGCCAAUUUAAAUAAAGGUGAAAGCCAUCAGAUUUAUGUUUCGUUUGUUAUUAUAAAGGGAACAAAGAAGGAGAAAAUGCCGUGUCCUCAAAGCAGAAAUAGUUGAUGUGAACAAUGAAAGUAAACAUACCAUGGAAUUUCUGAAUUUAUCCUGGAAGCAUUUUGUCAGUAUGGCCAGGGGAAUUUGCCACAAAAUAAAGGAUAAUGUAGCAUCUAGGGGAAAUGUAUCCUUAUCCAAGCAAUAGGAAAAAGAAACACAUCUUUGAUCAGGCAAAAGUGGCAAUUCAAUAGAUGCCUUUCUAUAGAAAAAGAGAAGGAUUCAUGUACCCUCCAAGUCCAACAAAGGAUUUAUACACUACUAUCACAUCAUAAAAAAAGGAACUUGAACAGUCCGUACUGGGCCGAAGUAGCAUAAAAAAUGGAGAAAUUUGGUUGCCUGCAAUUAGUCUGUUUGUAAGUCCUUUCGCGACAAGCAUCUUACUCACAAAUAUUUGAUUACUUGCAAUUAAGCCAUUUGUACCACGUGUACAUAUAAUUGAACCCUUACAUACUGCAAAUAAACUCACAAUCUAAAACGUCACAUGUCACAUUUGUGGAUUGGAUUGCAGUUGCAACUACAACCUAUAGGUAUUUGUUUUUUGCUUAUAAUCACUACAUGUUGUCAUUUAUGGUUAUAGGCAACCAAAUGCCCCCAUAUACAGCUAAUCUAAUUCAUCAUUUAUGUUUUUUCACCCUGAAAUAAAAAAGAAAAGAAAGCAAGAAAGGAAUGAUAAAGAAUGCACAAAUAGAAUGUGCAAAGCAGUGGAUCACUAUCAGGCUUCGAGGUCUUCAAAAUCUGCUGCUCUCUCUCAACCUGCCACAAUCAUAUAUUAUCAACAUAUGCAAGGCAGCACUAUCAAUGCUGCAUGCAUCUAUAUAAUACACAUAAGUGUUAGAAUGAAGAUGCAGAGUAGAAAACAUAUUAGCUGUGUUGCAAAUGCAGGGUCCCAUGCUCAUGAUGCACAAGAACUUCAUGGGCUAGGUGGUGUGACGGUACUGAUUGUGCCAAUCCAUGUGGAGCCCAUGCCAGCCGAAUGGCCAUGUACUUGGGUUAUAAGGGCACAGGUAUUUGGCAUGCACCAUUGCAUCAAGUCAGAUUAAUCUCGUGCGGUAUAUGGCAUCACAGGAAACAAUUCAAAAUCAAGACUAAACCCACCAAAGACUGUUAUACAUGGUGCAUAACAUAC
rnacentral:lncRNA from 1 species